ensembl:lncRNA
GUGGCAAAUGGGGGUUAUUAUUAUCUGUGUUAUACAAUUGGUUUUAUAUCUUGAGGUCAAAAGGUCAAGGAGCAUAAUACGUUUAUUUAUUUAUUUUAUUUGUGAAAAAUUGCCCAAAUGAUAUAUUUGAAAAAUAAGCCUUGUGGCAAAUGGGGGUUAUUAUUAUCUGUGUUAUACAGUUGGUUUUAUAUCUUGAGGUCAAAAGGUCAAGGAGCAUAAUACGUUUAUUUAUUUAUUUUAUUUGUGAAAAAUUGCCGUAAUGAUAUUUUUGAAAAAUAAGCCUUGUGGCACAGGGGGGUUAUUAUUAUCUGUCUUAUACAGUUGGUUUGAUAUCUUGAGGUCAAAAGGUCAAGGAGCAUAAUACGUUUUAUUUAUUUAUUUUAUUUGUGAAAAAUUGCCCAAAUUAUAUAUUUGAAAAACAAGCCUUGUGGCACAUGUGGGUUAUUAUUAUCUGUGUUAUACAGUUGGUUUGAUAUCUUGAGGUCAAAAGGUCAAGGAGCAUAAUACGUUUAUUUAUUUAUUUUAUUUGUGAAAAAUUGCCGAAAUGAUAUUUUUGAAAAAUAAGCCUUGUGGCACAGGGGGGUUAUUAUUAUCUGUGUUAUACAGUUGGUUUGAUAUCUUGAGGUCAAAAGGUCAAGGAGCAUAAUACGUUUAUUUAUAAAUGUUAUAUUAAUUGUUAAAAAAUGCUGAAAUUAUAUAUUUGAAAAACAAGCCUUGUGGCACAUGGGGGUUAUUAUUGUCUGUAUUAUACAGUUGGUUUGACAUCUUGAGGUCAAAAGGUCAAGGAGCAUAAUAAGUUUAAAAAAGAAGUAAAAAAUCAAUGAAUUUUUUUUUUUGGAAAAAUAAGCCUUGUGGCACAUGAGGGACAUUAAUCAGUAUGUUGCGCAGUUUGUUAGACAUCAUUCACUAAAAUGGUUGAAG